rnacentral:rRNA from 1 species
UACGUGAGGGGCUAGCGUUGUCCGGAAUCAUUGGGCGUAAAGGGCGCGUAGGCGGCUCGGCACUGUCCGUUGUGAAAGUCGCCCGGACUCAACGUGGGCGGGGUCAGCGGAUGACGGCCGAGCUGGAGCAAGCUAGGGGGUAAGUGGAAUUCCCGGUGUAGUGGUGGAAUGCGUAGAUAUCAGGAGAACACCCGUGGCUAAGGCGGCUCUCUAGGUACGGUACUGACGCUGAGACGCGAAAGCGUGGGGAGCGAACAGG